GCCUGCUUAGCUCAGUUGGUUAGAGCAUUCGUUUCAUACGCGAAAAGUCACUAGUUCAAGUCUAGUAGCAGGCA
rnacentral:tRNA from 2 species